UACGAAGGGUGCAAGCGUUAAUCGGAAUUACUGGGCGUAAAGGGUGCGUAGGCGGUUCGUUAAGUCUGACGUGAAAUCCCCGGGCUCAACCUGGGAAUUGCGUUGGAGACUGCAAGGCUGGAGUCUGGCAGAGGGGGGUAGAAUUCCACGUGUAGCAGUGAAAUGCGUAGAGAUGUGGAGGAACACCGAUGGCGAAGGCAGCCCCCUGGGUCAAGACUGACGCUCAUGCACGAAAGCGUGGGGAGCAAACAGG
rnacentral:rRNA from 1 species